rnacentral:rRNA from 1 species
GAUGAACGCUGGCGGCGUGCCUAAUACAUGCAAGUCGAGCGAACGGACGAGAAGCUUGCUUCUCUGAUGUUAGCGGCGGACGGGUGAGUAACACGUGUAUAACCUACCUAUAAGACUGGUAUAACUUCGGGAAACCGGAUCUAGUACCGUAUAAUAUUUUGAACCGCAUUGUUCAAAAGUAAAAGACGGUCUUUCUGUCACUUAUAGAUGGUUCCCCGCUUCAUUAGCUAGUUGGUAAGGAAACGGCCUUCCAAGGCAACGAUGCAUAGCCGACCUGGCAGGGGGAUCGGGCACACGGGAAGUGGAACACGGUCCAGGCGACUACGGGAGGGAGCAGUAGGGAAUCUUACGCAAUGGGCGAAAGCCUGACGGAGCAACGCCGCGUGAGUGAUGAAGGUCUUCGGAUCGUAAAAAUCUGUUAUUAGGGAAGAACAUAUGUGUAAGUAAAUGUGGACAUCUUGACGGUACCUAAUCAGAAAGCAACGGCUAACUACGUG